CUUUAACAGAGCACCUUUUUGGUUUUAUAGAUAGAUUAACAAGAAUGAACAGUAGAUUUGAGUUAAAGGUAAAGGGUUAAGACCAAUAGUAGAGGCAUAUCAGUAUAAUAGCAUCAUAAGUGUUACAUAAUAGGUUUCUCAGACUGAUUCUGCAGAUGAUCUUAAGCUGAGAUGUGAGGAAGCUUAAGAAGUUAGUGACAAGCUGCCAUGGUAGGGUACGUUCAACUCGCGUAUAGUGCUGCAUAGCAUGC